UGAAGGCUCGAAUUUGGCUCUGGCACGACACUUUAUGUGACAGAUGGCAUUCAACGAAAACCCAAAGUGACGCUGUACUCAGCGUCCAACUCUGAGUCGAAUGGGAAGACCACCCUGCUAUGUCUGGCUAGAGACAUGUUUCCAGACUUGGUCAAGAUCUCAUGGAAGAUGGAGGAUGCAAACGGCGGAAGAACGGAGGUGCCCAAAGCAGAGGGGGAACAGCUGGAGCAGAGGGAGGAAGAACAGACGACCAGUAUGAUCAUCAUUGAUAAAGACAAUACGUACAGGAACAAAUACAUCUGUUCUGUGGAGCAUGAAUGGGGUGCUCAACAUUUAGUCAUCCCAAAAGAUACUCCAACCACCAUGUCUGCACCAGCGUUCAGAAAUGACACCCAGGAGUCACUGACUCUGCAGUUUACCGAAGAUUCCUUCCAGUCAACGUGCAGUCUGAACCUGGCCUCUGUGGUUUACACAGUGAUGAUAGUGAAAAGCAUGGUGUAUUGCUGUGGGCUCUCUCUCCUGCUGCACAACAGGAUCCUGGGAAGAGGACCCAGCACCCGAAGACCUCUAUGAGGAAAAUCAUUUAUGUGCUUUUUUACAUUGAUACAAUGUUGUUGUUUUUUUUUUUGUUUUUUUUUACAUUGAUACAGCUUGCAUGACAUUUUCCUUGCCUAACACAGCCUGCUCAAAUUAACUAAGUUGCUCAAAAUAACCAUAUUAUUUCAGAUGAGGAUGCCUUUGUGAACAAAAUGUUGCAGCAACAAUGGUUCUGUAAAUGAUUGUAAAAAUACAUUUUUACAGUUCCGUGCUGUUUUCAAUGAAUAAAGGUUACUUAAAACCCCCAAAAUAUUGCAUCUCUUUACUAUAAGAUCAUCUAUUCAUAUUUGGGAAAAUGUUAUUUAAUUGAAUCUCAUCAGAAGUGGAACAAUAAGAUUGUAAGUUCACCAAUGAUCUGUUUUUGUUUGCUUCAAUGUGCAUGUUCCCGACGCAGAUGUUGAGCCUAGACUUAAUAGUGGUGGGAUAAUAUGGUUAAUGUUUCUUUGGUGUUCUAAGGACAUGUGAAACGGUAGUUACUGGAAACAAGAUAUAGCUAGCUGCAGAACCACAGCUCGAGUGUGUGAAGAGAUGAUUAUCCAAAGCUGCUGGAUGAUUCACUUGGCCUUGAUCUGUUUUUACCUCUAGUUGUGGGUUCACAGCUCUUGCCACCAAAAUGAAGAAUAUGACAGCGAUGGCAGACGAGUCCGUAAUGGUAGUUUAUGGUUCUUGCAUUUGUAGAAUUAUAGAUCUAUGGCAAAACAAACUUUUUACACUUUUGUUUAUGUGUACGUUUUACCAUGAAACAAUCAAAUUAAAUUAAAUCAAGGUUGGAGAGUUUAAUUUGUUUUUACAUGUAUAUUUUGCAAGGAAAUUAACAUUGUUAUCAAGAGAAGUAUUUUCCAUGUUAUUGUCAUGUUAUUACCAUUUAUUCUGUGCUUCAAUGUAAAGUGCUACCGAAAUGUCUUUUUAAUUGUUUUCUUUUCUCUACAUCGAAACCAUGAAAUAACACAUAUGGAAUCAUGUAGUAACCAAAAAAGUGUUAAAUAAAUAUAUUUGAGAUUUGAGAUUCUUCAAAGUAGCCACCCAUUGCAUUGAUGAAUUCAUUGCACGCACUUGGCAUUCUCUCAACCAGCUUCAUGAGGUAGUCACCUGGAAUGCAUUACAGUUAACAGGUGUGCCAUGUUAAAAGUUAAUUUGUGGAAUUUCUUUCCUUAGUGCAUUUGAGCCAAUCAGUUGUUUUGUGACAAGGUAGGGGUGAUAUACAGAAGAUUGCCUUUUUGGUAAAAGACAAAUCCAUAUUAUGGCUAGAACAUCUCCAAUAAGCAAAGAGAAAUGACAGUCCAUCGUUACUUAAGAGAAAGGGGGAUACCUAGUCAUUUGUACAACUCAAAUGUGUCUUCCGCAACACUCUAACCUUUAAGACAUGAAGGUCAGUCAAUACAGUUUCUUCAAGUGCAGUCGCAAAAAAAAACAUUAAGCGAAACUGUCUCUCAUGAGGACCGCCACAGGAAAGGAACACACAGAAUUAACUCUGCUGCAGAGGAUCAGUUCAUUAGAGUUAACUGCACCUCAGAUUGCAGCCCAAAUAAAUGCUUCGGUAACAGACAUAUCUCAACAUAAACUGUUCAGAGGCGACUGCGUGAAUCAGGCAUUCAUGGUCGAAUCAUAUUAAACACUAUUGUUGCACGCAGAGUGAGUCCAUGUAACUUAUUAUGUGACUUGUUAAGCACAUUUUUACUCCUGAACUUAUUUAUAAUCCAUUUUAAAUUCAGGCUGUAACACAACAAAAUGUGGAAAAGGUCAAGGGGUCUGAAUACUUCCCAAAGGCACUGUAUAUUGUGCAUUUUGAAACCUUUCAUCAUCCUCAUUACUUGCAUUAAAUGCCUCCCUCAAGUGUCACUAAAUGUAGAGUGGUCCAAAAUGAUUGACACCCUUGAUGAGGGGGCGACAGGUAGCCUAGUGGUUAGAGCAUUGGGUCAGUAACCGGGGAGAGACUAUAUGGACACCCCUGGCCUGCAAAGCUAUGAUUUAUGUCAUGCAGCCAAGUGAACAUAUCACACAGGGUUGUGACAGCUAAGGAGUGUCGGUAUUUUUGCAUUGCUGUGUGCUCAAUUUUAUAGCAAUAGGUGUGGCUGAAAUAGCCAAAUGCACUAAUUUGAAGGGGUGUCCACAUAAUUUUGUAUAUAUAUAUAUAUGUGUGUGUGUGUGUGUGUGUGUGUGUGUGUGUGUGUGUGUGUGUGUGUGUGUGUAGUUUUAACCUUUAUUUACAAUGACGGCCUAGGAACAGUGGAUUAACUGCCUUGUUCAGGAGCAGAACAACAGAUGUCAGCUCGGGGGUUUGAUCAAGCUACCUUUCAGGUUACUGUCCCAAUGCUCUAACCACUAGGCUACCUGCCGCCCCAUAGUAUACGUAUAAACAAGGAUAGGUACCUCCCCAGCAGCUAAUGAAAAUAUUAUUCUACUUCACAGCAGCUUCAAGAAGAUAGUUAGCCUACUAAAAUAGUCUGAGCUUCAUGCAUCUUACCCGACAGCAUGAGGUUGGUGCCUGAAACUGAUCAUUGUAAUCUACAGUAGGCAUAAACCAUUACUGUAAAGAAAUACAGCAUGUUAGAAUAAUUUUUACAGGAGGCAAUCUUCAGCCUUGAUUCUGUAAAACACAUGUAUGGUAUUAUACUGUGCACUCUACAGUGUUUUACUGUUGAAAUUGCAGAAAAGUAUUCAAUACAUAAAAUGACUGGCUAAAAUCCCAGCCUAUAAACGUGUAUUUUCUCCAGAUUCAUUCCAGUCCAUAUGCAAUCUGAACCUGUCCUCUCUGGUUUAUACAGUGAUGAUAGUGAAGAGCAUGGUGUACUGCUGUGGGCUCUCUCUCCUGCUGCACCACAGGAACAUGAUAAGUACCAGUGGACACAUUAAUUGAAAGGAAAAACUCCAAGUAUGGAUAUAGUUGUAAGUGGGCUGGUAAUAACAAGGAUUUUACAUCCCAUUGAGGGCGAACAUUUUUUAAUUGUAUUUUUUAUUUGUCGUACUUUAUUUUAAGAUGCUAAAGUAAUGUGAGCCAUAUCUUUCCUUGUCUUCCAUUAACUUCAACUGCCAAUUAUCAAAUGAAUUGCAGAACUUUUAAUUGUGUAUAUUGUGUUUCCUUAAAAUUGUGUCUCCUUAAAAUGUACAAUCACAUUUUACUUUUGAUGAUUGUGGGAGCUACUCGCUGCAGACACUUGAAAGAAGGUUAAGUUAAGGUUUCUGAAAAAUAAGGAGAGCAAAUAUUGAAGGUAGAUCCUUAUCAUAGCGGUACAUUAUUUUCACUAAAUCCGUCUUUGAUUUACACCAAAAUAUUUCAAAAAUAUUAAUGUGACCUAUAGCUUAUUAAAUAUGUAGUCUCAUUAUUUCUAAAUAUGGAUCAUUAUCCAAAAUAAUAUUUAGUAAAUUGUCAUGUGUGUAAUGAAGUGUAAUUUAUUUCAAGAAAUUUGAGUUCGUUUUCGAACAUAGUAU
ensembl:lncRNA